CCUUGGAACAUCUGCUCUAAGCCAAGUCCUACAUUGCUCUAGAGGUGGAAGUCACUAAGCGCUGAGGCAUUGCCUCCAAUGGAGACAAGCCACAAACGGUCUUGCUUCCAGCUCUUUGGGAAGCUAAGAAACAACUCGCUAUCCACAGUGCUAUUACAGCCUACCAGGAACAUCUCUGACAAAGGCCUGUGAAACGCAGUUUCUUUCCAGCCCUGACCUCGCUGAAAUAGAACUUCUGCUCUGCUGUGUAAUACAUUGCCCUAGAGGUGGAAGUCACAAACCCCUGCCUGGCUUCCUUAAGAGGAGUCAGGGCACAGACCCUCUCGCUUCCAGCUCUUUUGCAAGGUGAGAAAGAACUCGCUUUCCCCUGGGCUCUUACAGCCUACUGGGAACCUCUGAUCGAAAGACCUGAAACGAAGUUUAUUUCCAGCCGAGAUCUCGCCACCUUAGGACUUCUGCUCUAAGCCAUGUCCUACAUAACUCUAGAGGUGGAAGUGACAAAGCGCUGAGUCAUUGCCAACAAAGGAGACAAGCCACAAACCGUGUUGCUUCCAGCUCUUUGGGAAGCUAAGAAACAACUCACUCUCCACAGAUCUCUUUCAACCUACCAGGAACCUCUCAUACAAAAGUCUGAAAUGCAGUUUGUUUCCAGCCACGAUCUCACCGCAUUGGAACAUCUGCUCUAAGCCAUGUCCUACAUGGCUCUAGAGCUGGAAGACACAAAGCGCUGAGUAAUUGCUGCUAAAAGAGUCAAGCCACAAACUGUCUUGCUUCCAGCUCUUUGGGAAGCUAAGAAACACCUCGCUCUCCUCAGUGCUCUUACAGCCUAGCAGGAACAUGUCUCACAAGGGCAUGUGAAAUGAAGUUUCUUCCCAGCCCUUAUCUCGCUGAAGUAGAACUUCUGCUCUGCCUUGUAAUACAUUGAGCUAGAGGAGGAUGUCACAAAGCCCUGCCUGCCUUUCUAUAGAGGAGACAGGCCACAGACCGUCUUGCUUCCAGCUCUUUGGCAAGGUGAGAAAGAACUCACUUUCCUCUGGGCUCUUACAGCUUACCGUGAAUCUCUCAUACAAUGACCUGAAACGCAGUUUGUUUCCAGCCCUUAUCUUGCCGCCUUGGAUCUUCAGCACUAAGCCAUGCCCCACAUUUCUCUAGAGGUGAAAGUCACUAACACUGACUCAUUGCCUCCAAAGGAGACAAGCCACACACGGCCUUCCUUCCAGCUCUUUGGGAAGCUAAGACACAACUGGCUCUCCACAGUGCUCUUACAGCCCACUGGGAACAUCUCUUACAAAGGCCUGCGAAACGCACUUUCUUCCCAGCCCUGAUCUCGCUGAAGUAGGACUUCUGCUCUGCAGUGUAAUUCAUUGUCCUAGAGGUGGAAGUCACAGCGCACAGCCUGGCAGCCUCAAGAGGAGACAGGCCACAGACCGUCUUUCUUCCAGCUAUUUGGCAAGAUGUCGCCAACUUGGUUCUUCUCAUCUAAGACAUGUCCCACAUUGCUCUAGAGGUGGAAGUGACAAAGAGGUGAUUCAUUUCCUCCAAAAGAGACAAGCCACAAACGGUCUUGCUUCCAGAUCUUUGGGAAGCUAAGAAACAACAGGCCCUCCACAGUGCACUUACAGCCUACCAGGAACAUCUCUCACAAUGGCCUGUGAGACUCAGUUUCAUCCCAGCCGUGAUCUCGCUGAAGUAGAACUUCUGUGAUGCCGUGUUCUAUGUUGCCCUAGAAGUGAAAGGUACAAAGUCCUGCCUUGUUUCCUCAAGGGGAGACAGGCCACAAGCGUCUUGCUUCCAGCUCUUUGGGAAGCUAAGAAACAACUCGCUCUCCACAGUGCUCUUACAGCCUACCGGGAACAUGUCUUACAAAGGCCUGUGAAACGCAGUUUGUUUGCAGGCCUGAUCUGGCUGAAGUAGAACUUCUGCUCUGGGUGUGCCACAUUGCCCUAUAGCUGAAAGCUGCAACGUGCAGCCUCCUUUCCAAAGGGCGAGUUGGGCCCCAGAGCAUCUUGCUUCCAGCUCUUUGGGAAGCUACGAAACAAGUCGCUCUGCACACUGCUCUUACAGCCUACCGGGAACAUCUCUUACAAAGGACUGUGAAACGCAGUUUCUUUGCAGGCCUGAUGUGGCUGAAGUAGCACUUUUGCUCUGGGUGUGCCACAUUGACCUAGAGCUGAAAGGCACAACGUGCAGGCUUCUUAACAAAGGGCGAGAUGGGCCCCAGAGCAUCUUGCUUCCAGCUCUUUGGGAAGAUAAGAAACAACUCGCUCUCGCAGUGCUCUUACAGCCUCCAGGGAACAUCUCUUACAAAGCCGUGUGAAACGCAGUUUCUUUGCAGGCCUGAUCUGGCUGAAGUUGAACUUCUGCCCUGGGUGUGCAAAUUUGCCCUAGAGCUGAAAGGCACAACGUGCAGGCUUCUUAACAAAGGGCGAGUUGGGCGCCAGAUCAUCUUGCUUCCAGCUCUUUGGGAAGCUAGGAAACACCUCGCCCUGCACAGUGCUCUUACAGCCUACUGGUAACAUCUCUUACAAUGGCCUGUUAAACGCAGUUUCUUUGCAGGGCUGAUCUGGCUGAAGUUGAACUUCUGCUCUGGGUGUGCCACAUUGCCCAGAACUGAAAGGCACAACGUGCAGGCUUCUUAACAAAGGGCCAAGUGGGACCCAGAGCAUCUUGCUUCCAGCUAUUUAGGAAGCUAGGAAACAUCUCGCUCUGCCCAGUGCUCUUACAGACUACCGGGAACAUCUUUUACAAAGGCCUGUGAAACCCAGUUUCUUGGCAGGACAGAUCUUGCUGAAGUAGAACUUCUGCCCUGGGUGUGCCACAUUGCCCUAGAGCUGAAAGGCACACGUGCAGGCUUCUUAACAAAGGGCGAGUUGGGCCCCAGAGCAUCUUGCUUCCAGCUCUUUGGGAAGCUAAGAAACAACUCGCUCUGCACAGUGCUCUUACAUCCUACCUUGAACUUCUCUUACAAAGGCCUGUGAAACGCAGUUUGUUUGCAGGCCUGAUCUGGCUGAAGUAGAACUUCUGCCCUGGGUGUGCCACAUUGCCCUAGAGCUGAAAGGCACAACGUGCAGGCUUCUUAACAAAGGGCGAGUUGGGCCCCAGUGCAUCUUGCUUCCAGCUCUUUGGGAAGCUAAGAAACAACUCGCUCUGCACAGUGCUCUUACAGCCAACCGGCAACAUCUCUUACAGUGGCCUGUGAAACGCAGUUUCUUUGCAGGCCUGAUCUGGGUGAAGUAG
rnacentral:lncRNA from 1 species